rnacentral:rRNA from 1 species
GUCCCAAGGGUAUGGCUGUUCGCCAUUUAAAGUGGUACGCGAGCUGGGUUUAGAACGUCGUGAGACAGUUCGGUCCCUAUCUGCCGUGGGCGCUGGAGAAUUGAGGGGGGCUGCUCCUAGUACGAGAGGACCGGAGUGGACGCAUCACUGGUGUUCGGGUUGUCAUGCCAAUGGCACUGCCCGGUAGCUAAAUGCGGAAGAGAUAAGUGCUGAAAGCAUCUAAGCACGAAACUUGCCCCGAGAUGAGUUCUCCCUGAGACUUUAAGUCUCCUGAAGGAACGUUAAAGACGAUGACGUUGAUAGGUCGGGUGUGUAAGCGCAGCGAUGCGUUGAGCUAACCGAUACUAAUGAACCGUGAGGCUUAACCUU